ACCCCUUCACCAUCGUCUGCCAGUCCAGCAAAGGCACCUCCAAUCCUCCACUCCUACUCUUCUUCCAUUUCCCCUCCUCAGAUCAAAUCGCGCCUGAAUGUGCAGGUUUUGAGACUCAAAGUGUCGGCCUUUUGUUUGUGUUGUUGUGUCCGUUCACAUUCUUUGGUCUCCUCUUCAAAGUUUAGAUUCUACUCCGUUAUGUCAGCCUCCUCUAUUUUCAUCGUUAGCGUUCAGAUUUGUCACUAGGUAGCUUCUUGGCAUUCUAUUUCUUGUUUUCAUCUUCUAGUUCAGAUUCCCUUUUAGAUUUCAUUUUAUUUGUGGGUUACUUUUUAUUUCAAGGUUCAGAUCUCCCUUCUAGUUUUGUUGAAAAUAUUUCUACUGGUACUAAGUGACUGCCUUUUAGUACUACCUUAACUAGUGACAUUGCAGAGGAUUAGCACUUCAUUUGGUUGAUUGGAUUCUCUGCAAGUCAUUCUGGGACAUGGAAAAUGAGGGUUGGAUUAUAAUAAUUUGAGAUACAGCAGCUCCUUUGAUAGAGUUAGAUAGAGGUCUAGUGGCAACCCAAACACAAGUUGUAGAACUAUUCAAGUAAGGUGCAUUCUCAUGGUAUAGGAGUUCAUACCACACAAAUGGUCUUACCAUUGGAAAUUGCAGAGGAGCCUGUUUACAUUAAUGCCAAGCAGUACCAUGGAAUUCUGAGGCGUAGGCGAUUACGUGCCAAAGCAGAGCUGGAAAAGAAGCUAAUUAAAGUAAGGAAGGUAUUCUGGCAAUGUAUAGCCGAUAUGGUUUCCUUUUGUUACAUUUGCCCUGACUGAAUGUAGAAUACGACUUGGUCAAACAUUUUCUCAAUGUCAACAUAAAAAAGGAUGCUAUGAGAACAAACACUUAUAUAGUUAAAAGC